CCAAUAGCGUUUAUUAAAGUUGUUGCAGUUAAAAAGCUCGUAGUUGAAUUUUAGUCCUGGCCGGGCGGUCCGUCUUUGGCGAGUACUGUCCUGUGUCGGGUCUUCCUUCUGGUGAACCAGUAUGUCCUUUAUUGGGUGUGCCGGGGAGCCAGGACCAUUACCUUGAAAAAAUUAGAGUGUCUAAAGCGGGCAUUUGCUUGGAUAGAUUAGCAUGGAAUAAUAGAAUAGGACGUUGUGGUUCUAUUUUGUUGGUUUCUAGGACCACCGUAAUGAUUAAUAGGGAUAGGUGGGGGCAUUAGUAUUCAAUUGUCAGAGGUGAAAUUCUUGGAUUUAUUGAAGACUAACUACUGCGAAAGCAUUUGCCAAGGAUGUUUUCAUUAAUCAAGAACGAAAGUUAGGGGAUCGAAGACGAUCAGAUACCGUCGUAGUCUUAACCAUAAACUAUGCCGACUAGGAAUCGGGCGACGUUAUUUUCAUGACUCGCUCGGCGCCUUAUG
rnacentral:rRNA from 1 species